GGUUUCGGGACCUCUAUAUGGGUUGGUUGGGCGCACAAGGAAGGGAAGAUCCCGAGAGAAUCGGAGCCGGCUGCACGAAAUCGCCUCUGCGCGAUGGGGAAGAAAGGAAAGGGAAGAAGACGGCCACUGCCAUGCGGGGCCGGACUGUCAGCGACUAGGAGGGAGAAAGAGGAGGGCGCGCGUCUGCUGGCGGUGCUGGGCCGCUCUGCGGGCCGAAAGUAAAGAGUGGAGAGGGCCGAGCGAGGGGGAAUAGAGAAGAGGGAGAGGGGAGCUGGGCUGCG
rnacentral:lncRNA from 1 species